AACGAACGCUGGCGGCAUGCCUAACACAUGCAAGUCGAACGAGAUCUUCGGGUCUAGUGGCGCGCGGGUGCGUAACGCGUGGGAAAUCUGCCCUUUGGUUCGGAAUAACAGUUGGAAACGACUGCUAAUACCGGAUGAUGACGAAAGUCCAAAGAUUUAUCGCCAGAGGAUGAGCCCGCGUAGGAUUAGCUAGUUGGUGUGGUAAAGGCGCACCAAGGCGACGAUCCUUAGCUGGUCUGAGAGGAUGAUCAGCCACACUGGGACUGAGACACGGCCCAGACUCCUACGGGAGGCAGCAGUGGGGAAUAUUGGACAAUGGGCGAAAGCCUGAUCCAGCAAUGCCGCGUGAGUGAUGAAGGCCUUAGGGUUGUAAAGCUCUUUUACCCGGGAUGAUAAUGACAGUACCGGGAGAAUAAGCUCCGGCUAACUCCGUGCCAGCCGCCGCUGUAAAAC
rnacentral:rRNA from 1 species